GUAGUCUGCAACUCGACUACAUGAAGCUGGAAUCGCUAGUAAUCGCGAAUCAGAAUGUCGCGGUGAAUACGUUCCCGGGUCUUGUACACACCGCCCGUCACACCAUGGGAGUCGGGAAUGCCCGAAGUCAGUGACCCAACCGGAAGGAGGGAGCUGCCGAAGGCAGGCUCGAUAACUGGGGUGAAGUCGUAACAAGGUAAC
rnacentral:rRNA from 1 species